rnacentral:lncRNA from 1 species
AUUCCGAUUAGUCUGUCUUCUCCAUUCCUUUGACCUCGGCUUGUUUCUCGUUCUACCGUUUUCUGGCUCCCUUUACCUGGCUUGUCUCCUGACUAUUCUUAGCGUGCUUAGCCCGGCCACUCUAAGGUCCGGUACGUCACCUUUUCUGUGUGUGUGUGUGUGUCAGCGUGUUAGGUUCCCCGAAUCGUGACAGCAGGUAUCUUAGGAAAUAGUAAUACAACGCAAGUUUGGCCAAAGAAAAGAAGCAGUGUAAAUACAAAUAGAUACAAACAUAAUUAAAUACCGCCAACAAAAAGUCCCAGAAUAUGUCCAGUUGGUAGCAAACGCGUUUCAGUCCCAGGUGGGGCCUUCCUCAGUGCUGUGUCGCUGUUCCAUCUUCAGUGAAGUGACAAAACCGUCAACGCACUCGAGCUACAGCCGGAACAGUUUAAACACUUCAAGAGGGGUAUUUAAACCCUGAAGAUGGACCAGUGACAAAUAGCAAAUGUUGAGUUGAUAAGCAUAUAUGGUGUCAAUGUAAAUGUUGCAAGUGGCAAUAGGUUAAGAUGAGGCUGUAUUCAUGACACCAUUUGACACUGGUAGCAGAGGAGUUAUGUGAAUCUCUAUAAGUGCUCCAACAUACUACGCAGACCAUACUAAUGAAGGUUGCAGGGAUAUAUGAUGUCACAUAUAUAAUGUCACACUCUAGCCUCCUCCAUCUGGCAAACAUAUAAGCAGUAUGAGAGUAGGAGCAUCCACACAUCUGAUCUGAGAGUUUUGUGUGCAGAAAAAAACACACCUUUGCACUUGUCCUCUCAGUCCAAAGUUUGCCAGCCCUGCCAUGGGGGCUUUCCAUACUAGCAUAGGGUUUUUGGGGAAUGGAUUAGAUGCUUAUGGAGUUAUGAUUGGGAUCCUUAAGAGACUACAACUAUAAAAUUAUUUCUCCCAACUAAUAAACACCAAUAAAUCCUGCUAAAGCAGCAUUAAGACUACCAGUCAUUUAUUGUAACUUGUACAUUCAUGUUCGAAUAACACAUGAGCUCUACACCUUUUGAAACCCCUCUCUGGAGGUUGUUUUUGCAAGUGAUGAAGGGGUCAGGCUGUCUGGUCCCUUGGUCCAGUGUAUUAGACAUCAUGUGCAAGGAUAUGAAGCCAAACCCCCAGCCUGUAGAGCACAGACUUCCUGCUCCCCACCAGUUAUAGGGGAACGUUAAAAUAGGGGACAAAACAAGCAGGAUCAAACAGCACAUGCUUAUAUCAUAGAACAAAUGAGCAUCUGAGAUAAAUGUGACCUAACUUGUGAAUUAAACAGUUUUCAAUCUAAAACAAUAAUUUCAUUAUUAAAGUGUUUGAAAGCUUUGUAUAUUACAAAUCAAC